rnacentral:rRNA from 1 species
UACGGAGGGUGCGAGCGUUGUCCGGAUUUAUUGGGUUUAAAGGGUGCGUAGGUGGCUUGUUAAGUCAGUGGUGAAAUACAGCCGCUCAACGGUUGAGGUGCCAUUGAUACUGACAAGCUUGAAACAAGUGGAGGUUGCCGGAAUGGAUGGUGUAGCGGUGAAAUGCAUAGAUAUCAUCCAGAACACCGAUUGCGAAGGCAGGUGACUACGUUUGAUUUGACACUAAGGCACGAAAGCAUGGGGAGCAAACAGG